CCCCCACAUAUAUACACUCACACAUAAAUCAUGUUGAUGAUGAUUUUCUUAAUUAGGAUUGCUUUACACGUCGUUGAAAUUAACAAUAUUUUUUUCUUUCUUGGCAUUAACUUUCUUGGGAAACUUUAGUCCACAGAUUGGUUUGCUUUUAUAGUCUUUUUGACUGAUUUUCUGUCCGUAUUCUUUUUGUUUUGCCUUUUUCUUGUUUGUGGCAAACCAAACAUGACAUUAGUCCACCGCCACCAUGCGCUAUUUAAGGGCACAAACAAAUAUCCUACCCAGACUGUCAAUACUUAUUCCUCAUAAUUCUGAAAUUUUAGCUUUUGAUCAUAUAAUGAUGAUUAGCCCUUGUUAUGUUAAUUAGUUCACCUUUAUGAUAGAUAUUACGUUAUUUAGAAAUCUUCUAGUCCUUUCAGAAAUUUAUAUACUUGUGAAAAAUAUUAAACUUUUAGUAGUAUCUUUUAUUUUUUGAUUUUAUUUUGUAUGAUAAUAGUGUGAGAUCAUGAGUCAUAAUUAUUGAUGUUAGUAUAUCAUUAUUAGUACUUAAUUGUGUUAUUCCGUGCACUUGCAAAUACUGUUUUUUUUUUAAAAAUAUUUGUUUUAGUGUAUGUGUAAAUAUCAUACAGGUAUUGUAGCAAUUACUACAGUGAAUUAUCAGAGCCAGUUCAGGUAUGUGACUGGUGUCAAAGUGAGGAAAGAAGCAGCUCGAGGCGUGGAAAUUCGUCUAAGAAAUCAGCGGUCGGUAGUAAUUCAGGAAUAGGCAUAAGCAGC
rnacentral:lncRNA from 1 species